UAUUGUUUUUGCCCUGUCUGUUGGUCCGUUGGUCUGUCUGUUUGCGCCAACUUUAACAUUUUGCAAUAACUUUUGCUAUAUUGAAGAUAGCAACUUCAUAUUUGGCAUGCAUGUGUAUCUCAUGAAGCUGCACAUUUUGAGUGGUGAAAGGUCAAGGUCAAGGUCAUCCUUCAAGGUCAGAGGUCAAAUAUAUGUGGCCAAAAUCGCUCAUUUUAUGAAUACUUUUGCAAUAUUGAAGAUAGCAACUUGAUAUUUGGCAUGCAUGUGUAUCUCAUGGAGCUGCACAUUUUGAGUGGUGAAAGGUCAAGGUCAUCCUUCAAGGUCAGAGGUCAGAUAUAUGUGGCCCAAAACGCUUAUUUUAUAAAUACUUUUGCAAUAUUGAAGAUUGCAACUUGAUAUUUGGCAUGCAUGUGCAUCUCAUGGAGCUGCACAUUUUGAGUGGUGAAAGGUCAAGGUCAUCCUUCACAAGGUCAAGGUCAUCCUACAAGGUCAAACAUCAUAUAGGGGGACAUUGUGUUUCACAAACACAUCUUGUUAUUUCAAAAGAUAAAUCUAGACAGAUCAUGUUUAUUAUAUAUGUUUAUUAGCUCACCUGAUAUUAUAUAUCAUACAAUUAACACUUUAGAAUUUUUGCUCAUGCCUUUUUGCCUUCGGUAUUUUAUAUUUCUGAGCAAUUCUGAUACUAAAACUUUGUUGGUUUCCUAAAAUGUGCUCAUUAGGGUGUUUAUAUCCCUUUGGCAAACAUUUGAGCUUGAAAAUGUUCGAAUUUAAAUAACUUCUUUAUUACCGAUAGGAAUUGAUCUCUCGUAAGGGAUUUAUUGAAUGACUGCACUGAUAUAAAUAUUGCCAUAACCAUUAUCAAAUAAUCUUGGAUAUAACACUGAGUAACUUGUGGCUGCAUGUUUACUUGAAAGAAUGCUGUGGUGUCUUUAGGUCUUUUAUGUAGUACCACAUGUUGUUUGAUGGAUUCAAUGCCAGAGUUCAAAACAGAUUUUCUACUUACAUUUUCUCAGUUUAUUAUUGACCUCCUGUAAGGGAGCUUUCUCCAUGACUGCGCUCAUAUAAAUACUGCCAAGCUCCAGCAGGAGGGGUGUUUUUGACUCCUGGUGUUGCGUUACUUUGUAACAAUUUUGGCCCAAUCUUAAUGAAACUUGGUCAUAAUGUUACUAUUGAUGAGUUCCACAUUGGGUUGUUUUGAGAAAAAAUUAGGUCACUGGGUCAAUUUAUAGAAAAACCUUGUUAACACUCGAAAAGUUCUCAAUUUGGACCCAAUCUUGCUGAAACUUGGUCAUAAUGUUACCCUCUAAAAUCUUAGACAUGGUUGUUAUUGGAUUGUCCAGACUCAAAAACUAGGUGUUACUUGCUUGAAGACAAGAAUUUGGGGAGUAAUGGUCCCUUUACACUUAGAAAUACAUGUAUCAUGAUUUUCGAUAAAAAAAUUCAUUUCAGUCCAGGUUUUCUUGUUAACCAUGCACACUAUUGGGAAUAGUUGUUUACCAUCAUGGCCUUCACCUUUUACUGGCAAGCUCUCUUUCUACUGAUAAGCACUUCGAAUAGUUGAGGGCGAUGAGACAGUUCUUAUUGCAUAAUUAUUAAUAUGCAAGUAAGCUAUAGAAAAACAGCUAUAGUUUAUUUUGUUCCUCAUGUUUAAAUACUUCCUUACAAAUAGUUUAUUAAUUUUUGUUCCUCGUGUUAAAAUACUUCCUUAUAAUAAAAGUUACGAAUU